CUUUACUGUAGCUUUGCAUUGGACUUUGAACCGGUCUGUGUAGGAUAGGUGGGAGGCUUUGAAGCCAGGACGCUAGUUCUGGUGGAGCCAACCUUGAAAUACCACCCUGAUUUGUUUGAGGUUCUAACCAUGGCCUGUGAAUCCAGGUCUGGGACCGUGCAUGGUAGGCAGUUUGACUGGGGCGGUCUCCUCCCAAAGUGUAACGGAGGAGUACGAAGGUACGCUAGGUACGGUCGGACAUCGUGCUAAUAGUGCGAUGGCAAAAGCGUGCUUGACUGCGAGUCCCACAAGACGAGCAGGUACGAAAGUAGGUCAUAGUGAUCCGGUGGUUCUGUAUGGAAGGGCCAUCGCUCAACGGAUAAAAGGUA
rnacentral:rRNA from 1 species